rnacentral:rRNA from 1 species
UGGGGAAUAUUGCACAAUGGACGGAAGUUUGAUGCAGCGACGCCGCGUGGAGGGUGUAGGCCUUCGGGUUGUGAACUCCUUUUUCUCGCGAAAAAGGCACAGUUUUGGCUGUGUUGAUGGUAGUGGGGGAAGAAGCGCCGGCUAACUACGUGCCAGCAGCCGCGGUAAUACGUAGGGCGCGAGCGUUGUCCGGAUUUAUUGGGCGUAAAGAGCUCGUAGGUGGUUCGUCGCGUCUGUCGUGAAAGCCAGCAGCUUAACUGUUGGUCUGCGGUGGGUACGGGCGGGCUUGAGUGCGGUAGGGGUGACUGGAAUUCCUGGUGUAGCGGUGGAAUGCGCAGAUAUCAGGAGGAACACCGAUGGCGAAGGCAGGUCACUGGGCCGUUACUGACCCUGAGGAGCGAAAGCGUGGGGAGCGAACAGG